rnacentral:tRNA from 1 species
GGUUUUGUAGUGUAGCGGUUAUCACUCCGGAUUCUGAUUCUGACAUCAGACGAUUUCCGGCAACCCCGGUUCGAUUCCGGGCAAGACCU